rnacentral:rRNA from 1 species
AUGGAUCACAACUCCAGAGCCAAGCGCACCGCCGUACAUAGCGUUGUCACCUCAGACAUGCCUUCUAUUGUCUGCAUCCAAGAGACUAAACUUGCCCACAUCACGCUGCCACUUGUGGUCGAGACUCUCGAGCCUUCCUUCGACGGUUUCUUCUUUCUCCCUAUGGAGGAGACCCGGGGCGGUAUUCUUCUAGCUCGGCGUAGCUCUGUGCUAUUUGUUACCAGUCCUUCCUAUGGCUACCACCACAUCACGGCGGCGGUCUCCUCGCUCGCCGGUGAUCGGCGCUGGUGGCUAACUGGCAUCUACGGCCCUCAAAGCGAUGUCGAGAAGCUGCAAUUCCUUGCCGAUUUGCAGGAGGAGCGGGUGAACUGCGCAGGGCCUUGGGUCCUUGGAGGCAACUUCAACAUGAUCGCUUCCGCUGACGACAAAAACAACUCACGCCUCAACUUGCACAUGAUGCGGAGAUUCCGGUGCUUCAUGGCAGACAUGGAGCUGCGAGACCUUUACCUCCACGGUCGUCCCUAUACUUGCGCUAACAAGCGAGAUAACCCCACGCUAGUCCGAAUUGACCGUGUGCUCUGCACCCCCGCAUGGAAUGAAGCUAACCCACACUAUCAACGUCACUGCCUUUCCUCUGCGGCCUCCGAUUAUUUCCCUCAUGGUAGAUUGCACAGUGAGCUCACCCGAGUCGUGUCGGUUUCGCUUUGA